GCAAGCGUGGCGGAACCAGGCAUACGCAAUGGACUUAAAAUCCAUCGAGCGAGAUGCUCAUACGGGUUCGAAUCCCGUCGCUUGCACCA
rnacentral:tRNA from 1 species